UACGUAGGGGGCAAGCGUUGUCCGGAAUCAUUGGGCGUAAAGAGCGUGUAGGCGGCUCGAUAAGUCUGCUGUGAAAGUCCAGGGCUCAACCCUGGAAGGCCGGUGGAAACUGUCGGGCUAGAGUCCGGAAGAGGCGAGCGGAAUUCCCGGUGUAGCGGUGAAAUGCGCAGAUAUCGGGAGGAACACCAAUGGCGAAGGCAGCUCGCUGGGACGGUACUGACGCUGAGACGCGAAAGCGUGGGGAGCAAACAGG
rnacentral:rRNA from 1 species